UUUCAAAGUCACUAUCUUUUAUUCUGCAAUGUCUAAUCUGUUGUUAAUCACAUCCAUUAUAUUUCUAUCUAAUAAUUUGUAGUUUUGUCUCUAAGUGUUUGAUUUGGACAUCUAGAAUACAGUUAUACAGUUAUAAUAUUUCUUGAAUAUCUAAAAUACAAUUGUACAGUUAUAAUAGCUGUUUUAUGUCCUUGUUUGCUAAUUCUAACAUUUAAUCAGUUCUGGGUUGGUUGUGAUUGGUUGAUUUUUCUCCUCAUAGAUAUUUUCCUGUUUCUUUGCAUGCUUGAUGAAUUUUACUUCGUUUGGUGCUGAAUAUUUUUCCAUAUCUAAGUAUUCUUGAGCUUUGUUUUGGGAUGCAGUUAAAUUACUUGGAAAAAGUUUCAUCCUUUUGGGUCCUGCUUUAAGAAUUUAGUUGAAACAGAGCAGCAUUUAGUCUCAGGCUAAUCAUUCCACAUUAUUGACAAAAUAUGACUUUGAGUGCCCUACAAAAUGACCCAUUAAUUAUGAUGCUUUCCUGUCUUGUUGUGGGGACAGGCACUCUUUCUGGCCCUGUGUGAGUAGCAGGCACCCUUCCCACUCAUCCUUUCAGACAGGUCUUUACCCAGCCUCACCGUCUCCUCAUGUGCAUGUGCCUAGCAGUGCUCUGCUGCAUUCUUGAGAGGACCUUCCAUAGACCUCAGGAAUUCUCUCUCCAUGCAACUUUCCUUCUAGUAUUUUAUUCUGCAAACUCUAGGCACCCUGUUCUCCCAUACUCUCAGCUCUGUUGAUUUAAUAGAGCUCUGUUGACUAAGGAAGUCCACUGGGCACCCCCUGGAUUCCCUGUCCCUGCACCAUGGCCUGAAAACUCUCUCAUGGCAGUUAAGUGGGGUUAUCAGAAGGCUCACAUUGCCUAUUUCCCAUCUCUUAGGAUUACUGUUCUUCACUAUCUGAUGUCCAGUACCUUGAAAAUGGCAGUUUGAUCCCGUUUUAUUUGGUUUUUAAUGAUUGUUUCAGGCAGGAGGGUAAAUCUCUUACUCCACUUUGAUCAGAAGCAGAAGUUACAAAUUAACUAGAUUUUAUUUCCUUUUAACGAGCAUGUAUGCAUGUGGCUAUGAUUUUAUAUUGCAUACAUGCAAUAAAUAUUUGCUGUAAGUGAAAUUAAUCCUGGUUUUAUAUUGGAGAUGAACAGAUGAAUAAUCCAUGGAUUUUGUUUGCCAAAGAAUAAAACAGUCUCUGCUAUGUCACUGUUGUAAUGUUAGAUGCUGUUGGAGGGGGAAAGAAACAUUAGUGGCCAUGUGAUAAUGAGGAGUCAUCAAUUUCGAUAUUCUGCAAAGCAAGCCCUCAGCCCUCCAGGGUGAAGUUGGUGUCCUGGGGAUGGAUUUAUUACGUAGGCGUCAGGCACACAGAUGCUGCAGAAAGAUAUAUAGGUAGAUAUAUGGUCAUCUGUGCCAUCACUGGCUUCACCUGUUGAGCAGAGGGGAAAGAAAGUAUUUUCCAAUGAGAAAAAAGAACCCAAAAUGUGAUUUUCAGUCACAACCAGUAUUCAGCCCUUCUACCUACCAGUUUUAAAACUUUAGUGACUUGUCUCAUGGACGAUCAGAAACCUGGCUUCAAGGGAUCAAGGUCAAGGACUGGCUCCCCAUUUAAGUCCGUUGGACUGGAUUAUUCCAUAGCUACAUUCUGUAGCCUCUAAAAGUUUUUUUAAAUGAACAGGUCAGUAUUCCAUAUUAACAGGGAGGGGCAUGCAAAGUGUGGGCUGUGCUCUUAUAUCUGCACAUCAAUCAAGUAUUUAUUGGAUACCCAUGCCUUCUGUGUGCUCACCUCUCACUAGAACAUGGACUCUCGAAGGGCAAGGACGGUGUCUUAUUUGUCUGUGGGAGCUCAGUCCCCAGCACUGAGCUGGGUGUAGGGUAGGUUUCAGUAAAACUUUGAAUGAUUGAGAGAGCGAAUCCCCAGCAUGAGAAGAACGGUGAAGCAAUUCAUCGCACAUGCGCUGUCCGCUGGGAGCCGGUGAGGACAAUGCCCUGCUGGCUACCAUGGCUUUGCAAACUUGGUCUGGGCUGGUGGGCCAGUGGGACAGGACUCCUUGCCCCCCACUUUCUGGAGUGUGCUUGAACGAGACAAUCACACUUGGCAGGGAGAUUGCGCUCAGCUCAGGGGCAGAGGUCCCCAAGAUCCGCUCCCUGAGGGAGACUGAGUCGUUGACUCCACCUGGUGGAGUCUACAGAGUACUCACCGACCUGAUGCGAAGCAGGGAGGAGCCGGCAGCCCGGCGCCGGCCAAUCAGGUGCGGAGCGCAGCCCGGGAGCAGGAAGACUCCCAAGGAGGGAGGGGCUGGGGCUUGGAUGAGCCCCAGAGAGCAUCCGUGGGCUCCAAAAGCUGGCCUCCGAACCUCCCAGGCACGGUGGGCUCUGCUCCCCUGACCCCACCCCAGAGAGCAGCAUCCCUAGGCAGAUGGCCUUACUACUCCCUGAAACAGGAUAAUAAAGUGUUCUGGGAAAAUGCUGUCUGAAUGCCCCUGGACGGUCCAACUGUGGAACAGACAGCUGUGAGGUUGGCUUGUGAACCCCCGCGUUCCCAGUGAGUAAUCUGAGGUUCGGAGGAAGCUUCCGAGGGAGACAUGUCACCCAGAUCUCCCACCUCCCAGCCAACCUCUCAUCUCUGCUACACGCACGCUGCCUCUUACCUUCCACGUGCACGGGGCUCGGCCAUUACGGAGCCCAGUCAUAGGUGACCUAGAACCUAACGGGCUGUCCAGUGAAUUCAGCGGAGCGCCCUUGUCCAUGACACAGGUGAGAAGGCAGACAGGUGAGGUCAGUAGCGAGUGAACGGCGGAGUGGCCCUAGCCCAAGGCCAGCGAGCUCUGUGCCCUCUACGGGGGCUGAACUCCCAGAAUCCGGCUGCUCCUGCUGUUCUAUGUCCUUGCAACCCCGGUGUUUGAUUUGAGGAACGACAGCACGUGUGACUGGUACAGCUCGCUCCAUCUAGCAGACCAUGAGGGGAGGCUUAUUUCUGUCCACUUCGUGGUUUGACAGCCCAUCUAGACUGAUUGGAAAAAAGGAAAAGAUGAGACCUGAAGGUUUAUUUGAGGCAUUUCUAGAGCAAGCAAAACACUUCCCACAUCUCUGGAGGCCUGACAACACGGGAACUGAGAAGCCACAGCACCAAACGCGCAACGGAUGUUCCAAAGAAAACGCACGUUGCUCUUUUUCGAAAUCA